rnacentral:rRNA from 1 species
AUUGAACGCUGGCGGCAUGCCUUACACAUGCAAGUCGAACGGUAACGGGCCUUCGGGUGCCGACGAGUGGCGAACGGGUGAGUAAUACAUCGGAACGUGCCCGAUCGUGGGGGAUAACGAGGCGAAAGCUUUGCUAAUACCGCAUACGAUCUACGGAUGAAAGCAGGGGACCGCAAGGCCUUGCGCGGACGGAGCGGCCGAUGGCAGAUUAGGUAGUUGGUGGGAUAAAAGCUUACCAAGCCGACGAUCUGUAGCUGGUCUGAGAGGAUGAUCAGCCACACUGGGACUGAGACACGGCCCAGACUCCUACGGGAGGCAGCAGUGGGGAAUUUUGGACAAUGGGCGCAAGCCUGAUCCAGCCAUGCCGCGUGCAGGAUGAAGGCCUUCGGGUUGUAAACUGCGUUUGUACGGAACGAAAAGCCUUCUUUUAAUACAGGAGGGUCAUGACGGUACCGUAAGAAUAAGCACCGGCUAACUACGUG